GAUGAAGAACGCAGCGAAAUGCGAUACUUGGUGUGAAUUGCAGAAUCCCGUGAACCAUCGAGUCUUUGAACGCAAGUUGCGCCCGAAGCCAUUAGGCCGAGGGCACGCCUGCCUGGGCGUCACACGUCGUUGCCCCCCCAUCUACUCCUUCGGGAUUGCGGGGGGCGGAUGAUGGCCUCCCGUGCGCCUCGUCGCGCGGUUGGCAUAAAUGCUAAGUCCUCGGCGACGCACGCCACGACAAUCGGUGGUUGCGAAACCUCGGUUGCCCGUCGUGUGCGGUCGUCGCGCAUCGAGGGCUCGAAAAAAUUGCCGGGCUCCGGCUCGGCUUUCAACGCGACCCCAGGUCAGGCGGGGUUACCCGCUGAAUUUAAGAAUAUCAAUAAGCGGAGGA
rnacentral:misc_RNA from 1 species